GAGUUUGAUCGUGGCUCAGAGCGAACGCUGGCGGCAGGCUUAACACAUGCAAGUCGAGCGGGUGUAGCAAUACAUCAGCGGCAGACGGGUGAGUAACGCGUGGGAACGUACCUUUUGGUUCGGAACAACCCAGGGAAACUUGGGCUAAUACCGGAUAAGCCCUUACGGGGAAAGAUUUAUCGCCGAAAGAUCGGCCCGCGUCUGAUUAGCUAGUUGGUGAGGUAAUGGCUCACCAAGGCGACGAUCAGUAGCUGGUCUGAGAGGAUGAUCAGCCACACUGGGACUGAGACACGGCCCAGACUCCUACGGAGGCAGCAGUGGGGAAUCUUGGACAAUGGGCGCAAGCCUGAUCCAGCCAUGCCGCGUGAGUGAAGAAGGCCUUAGGGUUGUAAAACUCUUUCGCCGGAGAAGAUAAUGACGGUAUCCGGAGAAGAAGCCCCGGCUAACUUCGUGCCAGCAGCCGCA
rnacentral:rRNA from 1 species